AAUCACCAGUUGCAACACAUCGGAAGAAUAUAAGAAAUUUCUAUUUUAUUUACCAGCAAACGCAAACAUGCAGAUAUAAUUCCUAUCUUUUUUUUAUAAAUAUUCCUGCAAUGCUGUAGGCAACAAGUUAAAUAGUUUUUCGUUAUUUGUUAAUUAUUUGUAAUAUGACAAUACCGAUCUUCUUGUGUGGACGCUGCUCAUAUUACCUUCUGUAAAAUGAUUAUACCUACCAUAGGGUCUAGGUUUGUCCAAAACCAUAUGAGGAGCCCCACGCAAGGACAAUAUGGAUAGAAGUAACCUGGGCUAAGAUUCUCAAAAUCAAUUAGGGGACGUCGAAUGAACCUCACGCUAGGACAAUGUGGACAGAAGUAAUCGGGUCUAAGACUAUCAAAAUGGCAUGAAGGACGUAGAAGGGGCCCCACGCAAGGACAAUAUGAACAGUAGUAGCCGGAUCUAAGAUUGUCAAAAGCACAUAAGGGACGAGGAAGGAACCCCACGCAAGGACACUAUAGACAGAAGUAACCGGUGUUAAGAUUCUUAAAAUCUAUUAAGGGACGUGGAAGGAGCCCCACGUAAGGACAAUAUGGACAGAAGUAACUGGCGAGCAUUUUGCACCCCUACAUUUAAAUUCUUCGUGUUUUUACUUUUAUUUUAAUUAAACAAUUUUAAAAGUUAAAUUUCUACCGUAUUAAAGGGACUAAGAUUCUCAAAAUCUAUUAAAGGAUGUGGAGGGAGCCCCACGCAUGGACAGAAAGGGCAGAAUUAACCAGUAAGCAUUUUGUUACCCUCAUUUUUAAAAUCCUCUUGCUUUUAUUUUUACUUUAACUAGUUCUUCUCCCUUAUAGGUCACAGUAAGCUCGAAACUGUGAGCAUCAUUGCUUUCAGUGGUUGUAAUUCACUUUUGUGAACAAUUUGUUUAAUCAUAUUAGUUGUGUUAGAAAUUGAUUGAAAAAUUAAAUUUAAAGGGAUUGUUUCUAAAUGGGUAUGCAACACAUCGUAUACUUCAGCUUAGGAAAUUGCAGAUCCUUAGUACCUAAUAUACAAUACACUUCUGAUAAUUUAGGGUUAUUAUUAUUUUUAUAAUGGGCAUGAAUUUAAGAUGCGCUCAUUAUGAUGAUUUCAAGAAUGUGAAUCUAUUUUAAAAUGAUCCAAAGAUAAAUAUUGACAUUAAUUCAAUCAAUAAAGA